rnacentral:vault_RNA from 1 species
GUCAGCAACAGCUCAGCGGUUACUUCUCGAAAUACCACGGAAUUGUAAUUCUGAAAACCUUUCGGGGUUCGAAACCCGCGGGCGCCACCUGAC